rnacentral:lncRNA from 1 species
AUAUGGGCCAGUUAUUGGGCCUUUUAAAAUUGUAGAUUACAUUUUCGUUAACUUGGUCAUGUUCGAAAAACUCGGAGUCCUCACGUCAGCGCCGGCGAAAUUCCGGUACUGCUCCGUCUUCUACGUGUAUUGAAGGAAAGUGUGACUGAGAUUGAAGAGUAUUGAUGGGGUCAGAAUUGUGGUAUACAUACAAGUAGAUGAAAAAUGGACCCAAGAGCUAAUCAAUGAGACAUCAAUGACAACAAAAAACCAGCACAAAGAAAAGAAAGCUUGAGGAAAGGCUUGGCUCGAGGAAAACAAUUUCAGAGCAAAACCCAAAAAAAUGAAAAGAAAAGACUCUCAAAGUUUAAGGGACAAGUCAAGGUUCUUCUGCUUCUCUUCUUCAGCUGGCUUCAACAAUUCCUCGCCUCUCUGCCAUAGUUCAGAAGUUGGAAACUCUACUGGAAUCCUUCCUACAUCGAACCUACCGAUGUUUUCACAUGUGGAAGUCAACGGUGGAGCAAUCAUCAUCUGAUGAUGAUUAUAAUGAUUCUCUGUUGAAGUUAGUUUUGCUAUUGCUGGUUGCUGAACUAGUGGUAUCCUUGACCAGUUGAUCUGACCAUACUCACCACCGUAAACGUUAUAUGAACUUGGCUUAUGACUCAUUGAGUGUGCCUGAAUACCCAAGGUUCUGUUGCUGUACUGUCCAUGGAACGGGACCGGAGCAAAACCAUAUGGAUGCCCGAAAGCUGCGGCAGAUGCCAUCCGUUGCCCUCGCUUUGCCAAAGUCCUUUCUCUUUUGUGGGCGUUUUGGUGACCACCAAGCGCCUGUGAGCUGUAGAAUGUUCUUUGACAGUAGUUGCAUGAGAAGAGCUUCUGUUCAGUGGAAGUUGACCCGUUAAAACUCGGAGUGACUACACCUGUCUCUAAGCAGUCGAGGAGAUUGAGUUCUUGAUUGAGCUGUGGUUGACUAGAAUCAUAUCCUGCUAGCAUAAGGUCAAGCUUUAUACCUUCCACUCCUUCUUUUUGGUCAUGAUCAUCUUCUUCUUGUGCUGCUACUGUGUCUAUGUUGUAAUUUUCUAGGCUCAGCUUUGGGGAAUCUGAAAAUUGAAGACUGGUGGAUGCAGAAAUGAUGCAUGAGGAAUCAGAUGAUCUUGGUUUUCCGCUGGAAGAAUCCAUGAGGGGCAAAGAGGGUAUAUAAUUUUCCAGAAGUGGGAGCAGAAGUUGAUGCUAUAUAAGGAAAGUAUAGACUCAGUACAAAUGCUUUUGGAGUUUGUAAUAAGUGGAGAAAAGUAGUAAGAAGAUGAGAGAGAUAGAGAAAGAGAGAUGGGAGCAACUUUCACUUCACAUCAACCUUUUUUUGGGCUGCUUUCUCCUUCAAUACACCAAUCUCUAUUCCCUAUCAUGCAUAAUCUUCUUUAACUUUUUUUUUCCUGUUCUCUCAGUCUAUUGCCUUUAUGUGCUUAAAAGUUCUUCAACAAACAAGUAUACAUGUCAUUUCUUUUUCUUAUACCCAGGUUGAUGCCAAUGACAUGUAGAGUUGGGCUUAAUUCAAGAAAGCCAUCCCAAUGAAUAUUUACUUUUUGUCUUGGACUCCUGAUUCUAAUAGGCCCCAACUCGUCUUCAUUUGGUAUAGUUUUGUAUGCAGCCGCGGAUAUGUACUCUUUUGUAUGAGGAAAAAAGGAUUUGGAGGGGGGAACAAGACAAAAGAAAGCUUGGCAGUUCAAAAGAUCUUCUGAAACUGGGACCGGUUUUAUUUGUUUGGAUGAAACGACAACUUGUUGUAAUAUUCACGGAGUAGAUGAAGAUGACAACAAGUGACAAUGAAAUUGAAAAGGAUGCUCAAUGACAAGAGAGAGAGAUAAGGAGAGAGUGGACCAAGUGAAACUAUUCAGGUAUGUUUGAUGUUUUUGUGUACUUUUGAAACUUCGAGAUGAAAGUGGUCAUCUCUGUUUCCUUUUAGCUUUCCACUGUUUAACUCUCUUUUGUCCUCUUUUCACUUCUUCCUUUUGAAGUUUGCUUCACAUUCACACUCUCCUUCAUCUUUAUAUCCAUUGGAAUCCUUAAUAGUUUGCCGGAUUUUAUGGUUGAAAGGUACGAAACUCCCUUAGGACACAUUCUACUUCACAG